GAUGAACGCUGGCGGUAUGCUUAACACAUGCAAGUCGAACGAGGUCUUCGGACUUAGUGGCGGACGGGUGAGUAACGCGUGAGAACAUGCCUUUAGAUUGGGGACAACAGUCGGAAACGACUGCUAAUACCGAAUAUGCCUACGGGUGAAAGAUUUAUUGUCUAAAGAUUGGCUCGCGUCAGAUUAGCUAGUAGGAGUGGUAAUGGCACCCCUAGGCGACGAUCUGUACUUGGUCUGAGAGGAUGACCAGGCACACUGGAACUGAGACACGGUCCAGACUCCUACGGGAGGCAGCAGUGGGGAAUUUUCCGCAAUGGGCGCAAGCCUGACGGAGCAAUACCGCGUGAGGGAGGACGGCUUUUGGGUUGUAAACCUCUUUUAUCAGGGAAGAAUCGAUGACGGUACCUGAUGAAUCAGCAUCGGCUAACUCCGUGCCAGCCGCCGCGGUAAU
rnacentral:rRNA from 1 species